rnacentral:lncRNA from 10 species
CCAUUUACAGCGAGAAGUGAAAAAAAGUUCUGAGAAGAAGUGAGGAGGAGCUAACAAUUGAGCAUGACUUCCAGAAGACAGUGUGGACUGGUUUCAGGAGCUGACUGAGUUGGCUUGGCUGUACAUAGGAGGAAGACCCUGAUCCCUGGUGCUCAACACAGAAAUGCUUCAAUGAUACCCUGAGAUUGUUUUACCUUGCAACACUCUCUGGAAAAUUGCUGCUCCAGGAAUGCGAUGAAAAGAUCUGUAAGAGAGCACAGCCCCUGUUGAUUGACUUGUCUUGAUCAAACCAGAGCUUCUGGCUGGGAUACUGGUAUCUUGAGUGAGUCACAGCAGGAGAUACGUGCUGGAGCUGAAGAGGUUGGAGAGGCAGCAGAAAAGGUAGGAGACAGCAAGAGAAGGAGAGCAGCCUACAGAUGAGAAGACAAGUAAUUUACCCUAAAGUUCUAGGACUGCUGUUGGUCAAAGGAAAAAUCCUUCUGAGAGAUUUUGAUUUUAGGUUUUGAUUCUACUUCUGUUUCUAUGAAUGCUAGAGAGA